GACGAACGCUGGCGGCGUGCCUAACACAUGAAAGUCGAGCGAGGAACUUCGGUUCCUAGCGGCGGACGGGUGAGUAACACGUGGGCAACCUGCCUUGUAGAGGGGGAUAGCCUUCCGAAAGGAAGAUUAAUACCGCAUAACAUCACGAAAUCGCAUGGUUUUGUGAUCAAAGGAGCAAUCCGCUACAAGAUGGGCCCGCGGCGCAUUAGCUAGUUGGUGAGGUAACGGCUCACCAAGGCGACGAUGCGUAGCCGACCUGAGAGGGUGAUCGGCCACAUUGGGACUGAGAGACGGUCCAGACUCCUACGGGAGGCAGCAGUGGGGAAUAUUGCACAAUGGGGGAAACCCUGGUGCAGCAACGCCGCGUGAGUGAUGAAGGCCUUCGGGUUGUAAAGCUCUGUCUUCAGGGACGAUAAUGACGGUACCUGAGGAGGAAGCCACGGCUAACUACGUGCCAGCCGCCGCCGUAA
rnacentral:rRNA from 1 species